UACAGAGGUCUCAAGCGUUGUUCGGAUUCAUUGGGCGUAAAGGGUGCGUAGGUGGCGCCGUAAGUGGGGUGUGAAAUCUCGGGGCUUAACUCCGAAACUGCAUUCCAUACUGCGGUGCUCGAGGACUGGAGAGGAGACUGGAAUUCAUGGUGUAGCAGUGAAAUGCGUAGAGAUCAUGAGGAAGACCAGUGGCGAAGGCGGAUCUCUGGACAGUUCCUGACACUGAGGCACGAAGGCCAGGGGAGCAAACGGG
rnacentral:rRNA from 1 species